rnacentral:rRNA from 1 species
AAACCGUUUAGAGGCAAACGGACGGGACCGCAAAGUCUGUCGAGCGGAUUCAGCCUGCCGGCCGGCGGCGGCCGUUCGCGUUUAUCCCCGUCUUGGGGAGGGCGCGGACAGGUCGCGGUCAGCUGGCGGCGGGCGCACUUUCGCGUGGCGGAGCGCCACGACCGGUUCGCGGGCGGCCAAAAACCGUCGGGCAAGGUGAUCCGCGCCUCGGCGCGGACGUUAUAGGCCCGGCGAGAUGCGGCCCGCUGGCGGACCGAGGGAGACCAGGCGCGGCCUCGCGCCCGACCGGACCGUGCGGCGUGCGUACGACUGACGGGGACUGGAUCCAGUGCCCGUCGACCGCGCGCGUCGGAGCGGACCGGAGGGAGGCGCGGGGCUCGGGGUCGGUGGCGAAUCGGUCGGCAGCCCGUCCGACCCGUCUUGAAACACGGACCAAGGAGUCUAACACGCGCGCGAGUCGCAGGGCCGUACGAAACCCGAAGGCGAAACGAAAGUGAAGGCCGUCCCCGAGGACGGCUCGGGCGGGAUCCGCGACGGAGCAAUCCGCCGCGGCGCACCGCCGGCCCGUCUCGGCCGCCGCGUCGGCGAGGCGGAGCAGGAGCGCGCGCGUUGGGACCCGAAAGAUGGUGAACUAUGCCCGAGCAGGACGAAGCCAGAGGAAACUCUGGUGGAGGUCCGCAGCGAUUCUGACGUGCAAAUCGAUCGUCGAACUUGGGUAUAGGGGCGAAAGACUAAUCGAACC